UACGGGGGAGCAAGCGUUGUUCGGAUUUACUGGGCGUAAAGGGCGCGUAGGCGGUCAGCACAAGUCAGUUGUGAAAUCUCCGGGCUUAACUCGGAAAGGUCAACUGAUACUGUGCGACUAGAGUGCGGAAGGGGCAACUGGAAUUCUCGGUGUAGCGGUGAAAUGCGUAGAUAUCGAGAGGAGCACCUGCGGCGAAGGCGGGUUGCUGGGCCGACACUGACGCUGAUGCGCGAAAGCAGGGGAGCGAACGGGAUUAGAA
rnacentral:rRNA from 1 species